AUGGCAAGAAAGUCGUCCAAGUUAAGCCCCUACUCAAAUAUGUUACUAAAUUUCGUUUUAUAUAGUAUUUUUUAUGAAUUCGCCUUCGCCUUUCCGUCAUAUCCCGAAUCCAGACAGUCAGAAAGUUUGGAGAAACCCACCUCAACACCAAACAAUCAACAGGUUCUAAGUCUGCAUUUAGGAGUUAUCGCGUCUGUUGUGAUCGUUAUUGUUGCUGCAGUAGCAGCUGCUGUAUUCAUCAUACGGAGUUACUGCUGUCUGCAGAGUAAUGUAACAUAUAGAUAUUCAGAGCUGCGACAAAUGGAAGCGGAAAAUGCAGCCAGAGAAGAGGACGAUGGUUCAGAUGAGGUUAGUAUGUGUGGCAUUUUUUAAUUUUAGUAAUAAUAGCCUUUAAAAAUAUAUAUGCUUAAUUAUUUUUUAUUCUCAUUUUGGGUUUUCUUUCUACAGGACCUUUUGGAGUGAAUCGUGCAGCACAAUUUAUCCCUGACGUUUCUCUUCCUUUUUUAAUCCUGUGAUAUUAUAUGGCCAAAAGCAUCACAUGGGUCAUUUAAAAACCACCAAGAGUCCCUGAAAUAUUUAUCUCUGUUCCACCAUUUUUCAGCACGGAUAUCUCCACCAACCAGUUAAAAUUAGCUGGUUAAAUCUGGCAGGAUUCAAAGGCUAAAAUCUCCUACGUGAAAGAGCUGUGGGGAAGCGGUUCAGAAAUACUAAAAGAUGCUCAUUGGAGAUAAAAGUUACUAUGAUUUAUUUGCAGGCAAAUAACUUAUGAAACUAGCUGUUAUGGUUGUCGGUUGUGGUGACCAUUGCUUAAAACUUGGUCAAUACUUGGAACUACUUUUUAAAGAAGAACUUGUUUAGUAUUUUCUUGAAUUUCUCAAUGCAAGGUACGUUGUACCAAAGUCGGUUGAAAUGAUUGUUCCUCUAUUUAUUGUGCCUGACCUUUUCUUUUAAAAAACAGCUUUAUGAUCUCAGGGUUGUUCCCACUGUAUACUGUGAGCAGUGCCACCAAUACCAGAAGCACAUCUGAAAUAGCAUUUGACUGUAAACAAGUCUUAUCCACUGUAAUGAUGCUGCAGACUUUGCAUUUCAGUUCCUUACUGAAAUCUGUUACUGUAUAAUUUAACUCUUGUGGUAUUUUGAACAAUAAUAUGCACUCAUAUGUCAGUAUUGAUAUUUAUAGUGGCAGUGUUUGAAUUUACCUCUAUUUUAAGAUGACAAUGUUGAUACAGAAUUAUUAUGUGCAGUGCAGAGCUACACAACAGUGUUUUUAUGAGCUCAGUCCGUGAUGGGAAGUAUUUUUGAUGGAUGCUAAUUGAAUUCUGUAUCUUUAGAUUUUCAAAUGUUUGCACCUUCUUUUCUGAGACUGAUCUACUGAUUACUUAAAAAAAAUAGUUAAUUUAACUGAGAAGGAAUAAAAUUAUGUACAUGAAUAUUCCUUGUAUGUUU
ensembl:lncRNA